GACGAACGCUGGCGGCGUGCUUAACACAUGCAAGUCGAACGGUGAUCUUGAGAGCUUGCUCUUGGGUGAUCAGUGGCGAACGGGUGAGUAACACGUGAGUAACCUGCCCCUGACUCUGGAAUAACUUCGGGAAACCGAAGCUAAUACCGGAUAUGACACAGAGCCGCAUGGUUUCUGUGUGGAAAGUUUUUCGGUUGGGGAUGGACUCGCGGCCUAUCAGCUUGUUGGUGAGGUAAUGGCUCACCAAGGCGACGACGGGUAGCCGGCCUGAGAGGGCGACCGGCCACACUGGGACUGAGACACGGCCCAGACUCCUACGGGAGGCAGCAGUGGGGAAUAUUGCACAAUGGGCGAAAGCCUGAUGCAGCGACGCCGCGUGAGGGAUGAAGGCCUUCGGGUGUAACCUCUUUCAGUAGGGAAGAAGCGCAAGUGACGGUACCUACAGAAGAAGACACCGGCUAACUACGUAGCC
rnacentral:rRNA from 1 species